GAAAUGCGAUAAGUAAUGUGAAUUGCAGAAUUCAGUGAAUCAUCGAAUCUUUGAACGCACCUUGCGCUCCUUGGUAUUCCUUGGAGCAUGCCUGUUUGAGUAUCAUGAAAUCUUCAAAGUAAAUCUUUUGUUAACUCAAUUGGUUUCUACUUUGGUAUUGGAGGUCUUUGCAGCUUCACACCUGCUCCUCUUUGUUCAUUAGCUGGAUCUCAGUGUUAUGCUUGGUUCCACUCGGCGUGAUAAGUUAUCUAUCGCUGAGGACACUGUAAAAGGUGGCCAAGGUAAAUGUAGAUGAACCGCUUCUAAUAGUCCAUUGACUUGGACAAUACUUUUAUGAUCUGAUCUCAAAUCAGGUAGGACUACCCGCUGAACUUAAGCA
rnacentral:misc_RNA from 1 species